UAAUACUGGAUAGGCAAUUAUUCCUGUAAUGGUUUUUUGUUUAAAUGUUUUUUCGCCUAAGGAUGGGUCUGCGGCCGAUUAGGUAGUUGGUUAGGUAAUGGCUUACCAAGCCUUUGAUCGGUACGGGUUGUGAGAGCAAGAGCCCGGAGAUGGAACCUGAGACAAGGUUCCAGGCCCUACGGGGUGCAGCAGGCGCGAAACCUCCGCAAUGUGAGAAAUCGCGACGGGGGGAUCCCAAGUGCCAUUCUUAACGGGAUGGCUUUUCUUUAGUGUAAAAAGCUUUUGGAAUAAGAGCUGGGCAAGACCGGUGCCAGCCGCCGCGGUAACACCGGCAGCUCUAGUGGUAGCAAUUUUUAUUGGGCCUAAAGCGUCCGUAGCCGGUUUAAUAAGUCUCUGGUGAAAUCCUGUAGCUUAACUGUGGGAAUUGCUGGAGAUACUAUUAGACUUGAGACCGGGAGAGGUUAGAGGUACUCCCAGGGUAAAGGUGAAAUUCUGUAAUCCUGGGAGGACCGCCUGUUGCGAAGGCGUCUAACUGGAACGGUUCUGACGGUGAGGGACGAAAGUUAAGGGCGCGAACCGGAUUAGAUACCCGGGUAGUCCUAACUGUAAACGAUGCGGACUUGGUGU
rnacentral:rRNA from 1 species